UAUAUCAUUGGGUUGCUGUGAGGAUUAAAGAGGUUUAUGUAUGUAAAAUGCUUAGAAAUAUGGCAAAUGCCAUAUGUGCCUGCUACCGUUGUUUGUAGUAGUAGAAUGCCUACUACUACUAUUAGAUUUGAUUCCCAGAAUCUCCGGGCCCUGAGAAAGGCAUGCUGCCUGGUACAAGCGGAGAGUAGAAACAGCACAGAGGUGGAGCUGGGUAGCCCUGGGUUCAAAUCCAGGCUCUCGGGGUCUUUGAGGUAUCUGGGAUGAGCUACCCUAGAGGGGGCUUGCCUGGCUGCCCCUCGCUGCUCUGGCUGCUCCUGGCAGAGUUCCGUUAGCUUGCAGCCAGCUGGCCUGGCUGAUUGUUUCCUCUCCUCCACGCAUCCCCAGGAACCUCUGGCGGGAGGUGACCCGAUACCUGCGGCUGGGGGACAUUGACGCAGCCACCGAGCAGAAGCGGCACCUGGAGGAGAAGCAACGGGUGGAGGAACGGAAGCGCGAGAACCUCCGCACACCAUGGAAGCCCAAAUAUUUUAUCCAGGAGGGCGAUGGCUGGGUAUACUUCAGUCCCCUCUGGAAAGCACACU
rnacentral:sRNA from 1 species